GUAAGCUGGCCGAAAGGGCCUGAAAGCCCACCUGUCGCUGAGCUGCCAUAGGUGCGUGUUUAGCCAGACAGAUGGGUGCAUUGGCAACUCACACAGGACAGAAUGUGCUCUGAAUAGGAAGGCUACAAAUGUUUGCCUUUACUCCAGUCUCUCAAGUGCUUGUAAUUUUGAACCUUCACAGUUGCAAAAAUCAGUCAUUGAAGUUCGUGAUUUCUUCAUUCAGAAUUACCUAGGACAAAGAGAAUUUUCAGGCGAUGUUGCUAUCAUGCCAAAUGCUCCUUCACGCAAGUCCAUUUGCCUAUUUGUGGCAUUCUGGGGCCUGGCUCCGACGGGGAAAAUCACUGUUGUGUGGCCUCUGUAGGGUCUAAAUCAUUAUGUGUCCUCAGGAUGAAAAGGAAGGCCUUGUAGAAAUACACAAGCCUAAAGAGGAGCCUGAAGUGCCCAGCUGUAGAAGCCAUCCUGCCCUGAGGUGCUGGAGGGGAGUGGACGGCAGACAGGAGGGACCCCAGAACCCAGCUGUGCGCAGAGCCCCUUCAGGAAACACAGUGAAGCGCUAGGAGAUGUUGGUUUGUCAGCAUCUCUUCUCAGAAAACCCUGGCAUAUGUUUAUUAUCUUAGACUUGGCAAUGGAAUUUUUAGAUUGGGUUUGUUCUUUGUACUUUGGAUAGCUUUCUUUGCCUGUUUUAGAUGUACCGUUGUUGAUUCAGCAUAAUUCUGAUUGUUUUCUGUCUUUUUGUAUGCCUUUUAUUCUGGUUCCAGGCUAGCCUAAUCAAUCAAAGGUAGAGUUUCCCCCACAUUAACAUACGACUGGAAGCAGGGGUCCUUGACUGGAAGAGAUGGAGCACAUGUCCUGGGAGUGAUAUAUUAGGGCCAGCACUCUCAGAAACAAGACCUGAAGCCCUUCCACCUCCACAAAGCUGUGAAGCAUCUGCAGCUUCGGAUAAUAAAGAGAAAAAAAAUGCUGCAAAAAAGAAAUGUUUGUACAAUUUCCAAGAUGCUUUUAUGGAAGCAAACAAAGUUGUCAUGGCCACCUCCUCCGCCACAUCCUCCGUAUCCUGCACAGCCACCACAGUGCAGUCAAGCAACAGCCAGUUCAAAGUAUCGUCCAAGAGACCUCCUUC
rnacentral:lncRNA from 1 species